rnacentral:rRNA from 1 species
CCCCUAGUAACUGCGAGUGAAGCGGGAAGAGCUCAAAUUUUGAAUCUGGCGGUCGUUUCGGCCGUCCGAGUUGUAAUCUAGAGAAGCGUCUUCCGCGCUGGCCCGUGUACAAGUCUCCUGGAAGGGAGCGUCAUAGAGGGUGAGAAUCCCGUCUUUGACACGGACUACCAGUGCUAUGUGAUGCGCUCUCGACGAGUCGAGUUGUUUGGGAAUGCAGCUCAAAACAGGUGGUAAACUCCAUCUAAAGCUAAAUACAGGCGAGAGACCGAUAGCGAACAAGUACCGUGAGGGAAAGAUGAAAAGAACUUUGGAAAGAGAGUUAAACAGUACCCCGUGAAAUUGCUGAAAGGGAAACGCUUGAUGUCAGUCGCGUCGGCCGGGGAUCAACCUUGCUUCAUCGCUGGGUGUACUUCCUGGUCGACGGGUCAGCAUCARUUUCGGUCGUCGUACAAUGGCGGAGGGAACGUGGCACUCUUCCGAGUGUGUUAUAGCCCUUCGUCGUAUGCGGCGGUCGGGACCGAGGAACUCAGCAACGACCCUUCCGGGUCUGUGCUUAGGAUGCUGGCAUAAUGGCCUUAAGCGACCCGUCUUGAAACACGGACCAAGGAGUCUAACAUGCCUGCGAGUGUUCGGGUGCCAAACCCGUGCGCGAAACGAAAGUGAAAGUCGAGACCUCCGUCGUGGAAGGGCACCGACGCCCGGACCUGAGUCUUCCACGACGGAUCUGCGGUAG